GGCAGCUCGUGGGGUUCAGAGAGUCUUUAGAGAGGUGCAUCCAAGCUGUGAGAUUCCCAGGGAUGGCAAUGGAUGAGCUGGGAUUGUUGUGAUGGUGGGAAGGAGAGGGCUGAGAACACCUCAGGGUGUCCUUGACCAGCAGCGUGAGGGAGGGGAUCCACUCCCUCUGCUCCACUCAGAGACCUCAUUUCCACGUUGCCCAUGAAAAUGCGUCGGCUUUGGAACAGAUAUGAAAGCUCCACAUGUUGAUCUGCAAAAUGAGCUUUGAGCAAGAAAACCAGUAGAAACCAAACAAAAAAACCCCGUUGUUCCAUGA